UACGUAGGGGGCGAGCGUUGUCCGGAGUACUGGGCGUAAAGCGCACGCAGGCGGAUCUGUUAACGUUUGGAGGUGAACAGUUGGUGGCUUAACUGCCAAAGUGCUUCGAAAACUGACAGACUUGAGGGCUUCAGAGGGACACGGAAUUCCGGGUGGAGUGGUGAAAUGCGUAGAGAUCCGGAAGAACACCGGUGGCGAAGGCGGCCUGCUGGGCAGUUGCUGACACUGAGGCGCGACAGCGUGGGGAGCAAACAGG
rnacentral:rRNA from 1 species